UACAGAGGGUGCGAGCGUUGUCCGGAAUCACUGGGCGUAAAGGGCGCGUAGGUGGCGCGACAAGUCAGUGGUGAAAGUUCGACGCUCAACGUCGAAUCGGCCACUGAUACUGUUGGGCUUGAGCACUGUAGAGGCUAAUGGAAUUCCGGGUGUAGCGGUGGAAUGCGUAGAGAUCCGGAAGAACACCGGUGGCGAAGGCGGUUAGCUGGGCAGUUGCUGACACUGAGGCGCGACAGCGUGGGGAGUAAACAGG
rnacentral:rRNA from 1 species